GCGCAGCAGUCGAGAAUACUCUGCAAUGCGCGAAAGCGCGACAAGGGGUUACCCCGAGUGUCGUCCGCUGAGGACGACUUUUCCCCAGUGUAGAUAGCUGGGGGAAGUAAGGAGAGGGCAAGUCUGGUGUCAGCCGCCGCGGUAAUACCAGGCUCUCCGAGUGGUGGGGACGCUUAUUGGGCCUAAAGCACCCGUAGCCGGUCUAACAAGUCCCUUGUUAAAUCCAGCGAUUCAAUCGCUGGACUGCAAGGGAUACUGUUAGACUAGGGGGCGGGGAG
rnacentral:rRNA from 1 species